UGAAGAAAACCCUCUUAUGAGUGAUAGUUUGUUUGGUUAGUUAAUUAGAGAUUAUCUUAGUGAUUAGUUGUGUGGAUCUUUUGAGCAGGAAAAUACGAUACAAUUGUUGCUGCUGCAUACAUACAUGGAUUCAUUUAGGCCAACACGAUCAAUCUCCCUCUUCUCCACGAAAAAAAUAUGAAGCACCACCGGGGCACGGGAAGAAAGGUAUAUACUUGUGCAUCACUUUGUAAUGGGUUUCCUUUAUAUGAACAAGUAUACAAACUUGAAGUAAACACGCGUGAUAUUAAACGUAUCUGCAUCUUAUUGCUGCAUUUACUCUUUACCUUUUCAUUAUUGUGUUAUGAUUAUAAUUGUAUGUGCUAUUUGGUCCUACAAAACUAGUAUAGAAGGUUUGUUUUGAAUAUCCCAGUGACGUGGGAACACUCAGCAUGGCUGAAAAUUUUAACACGGGAAGGUUCCUGUAAGCCGCAUAUGAUCAAGUGUCGUCUUGAGACCAUACUUGAGCACUGCCUUA